rnacentral:lncRNA from 1 species
CCGCUGGGCGCUGGGCCGCGGACCCCGUCAUCCACUCGACUGUGGGCGCCGACGGUCUGCGUCAAGCUUAUUGCUGUGCAAAUGAUACUAUUCUGCUUUCCUCCAGACCUCGCACCCAGAGAUUUUUAGGCAAGAGCCCCUCUGGACCACC